AGAGUUUGAUCAUGGCUCAGAACGAACGCUGGAGCCAGGCCUCAUACAUGCAAGUCGCACGAUUAAAGCUCCCUUCGGGGAGUGUAUAAAGUGGCAAACGGGUGAGUAACAGGUGGAUAAUCUGCCCUUUGGCGGGGGAUAACGGUUGGAAACGGCCGCUAAUACCGCAUGUGAUUGCUUUAUCUUCGGAUUUAGCAAAGAAAGGCGCUUCACGGCGUCGCCAAAGGAUGAGUCCGCCCCCCAUUAGCUAGUUGGUAAGGUAACGGCUUACCAAGGCUUCGAUGGGUAGCCGAGCUGAGAGGUUGAUCGGCCACACUGGGACUGAGAUACGGCCCAGACACCUACGGGUGGCAGCAGUAGGGAAUAUUGCGCAAUGGACGAAAGUCUGACGCAGCCAUGCCGCGUGAGUGAUGAAGGCCUUCGGGUCGUAAAGCUCUUUUCUGAGGGAAGAACAUCCGGUGCAGGAAAUGGCACCGGCUUGACGGUACCUCAGGAAUAAGGAGCGGCUAACUCCGUGCCAGCAGCCGCGGUAAUACGGAGGUUGCAAGCGUUGUUCGGAAUUACUGGGCGUAAAGGGAGCGCAGGCGGGUUGGGCAGUCAAAAGUGAAAAUCCGGGGCGCAACCUCGGAAGUGCUUCGGAUACUGUCAAUCUUGAGAUCGUGAGAGGAAAGCGGAAUUCAGGGUGUAGCGGUGAAAUGCUUAGAUAUCUGGAGGAACACCAGUGGCGAAAGCGGCUUUCUGGCGCGUUACUGACGCUGAGGCUCGAAAGCGUGGGGAGCGAACGGGAUUAGAUACCCCGGUAGUCCACGCCGUAAACGUUGUGCACUAGGUGUAGGAGGUAUCGACCCCUUCUGUGCCGUAGCUAACGCAUUAAGUGCACCGCCUGGGGAGUACGCACGCAAGUGUGAAACUCAAAGGAAUUGACGGGGGCCCGCACAAGCGGUGGAGCAUGUGGUUUAAUUCGAGGCAACGCGAAGAACCUUACCCAGGCUUGACAUCCCGAGAUCGCCAUGGAAACAUGGUUUCCCCUUCGGGGGCUCGGAGACAGGUGUUGCAUGGCUGUCGUCAGCUCGUGUCGUGAGAUGUUGGGUUAAGUCCCGCAACGAGCGCAACCCUUGUCCUUAGUUACCAGCACGUUAUGGUGGGCACUCUAAGGAGACUGCCGGUGAUAAACCGGAGGAAGGUGGGGACGACGUCAAGUCAUCAUGGCCCUUACGUCUGGGGCUACACACGUGCUACAAUGGCCAGUACAAUGGGUCGCAAUACCGCGAGGUGGAGCUAACCCCAAAAAGCUGGUCUCAGUUCGGAUAGGAGUCUGCAACUCGACUCCUUGAAGUCGGAAUCGAUAGUAAUCGCUUAUCAGCUACGAAGCGGUGAAUACGUUCCCGGGCCUUGUACACACCGCCCGUCACAUGACCCGAGUCGGUUGCACCCGAAGUUGGUGACCUAACCUUUCGAGGAAGGAACCACCUAAGGUGUGAUUGGUAAGGGGGAUGAAGUCGUAACAAGGUA
rnacentral:rRNA from 1 species